rnacentral:rRNA from 1 species
GACGAACGCUGGCGGCGUGCUUAACACAUGCAAGUCGAACGGAAAGGCCCUGCUUUUGUGGGGUGCUCGAGUGGCGAACGGGUGAGUAACACGUGAGUAACCUGCCCUUGACUUUGGGAUAACUUCAGGAAACUGGGGCUAAUACCGGAUAGGAGCUCCUGCUGCAUGGUGGGGGUUGGAAAGUUUCGGCGGUUGGGGAUGGACUCGCGGCUUAUCAGCUUGUUGGUGGGGUAGUGGCUUACCAAGGCUUUGACGGGUAGCCGGCCUGAGAGGGUGACCGGCCACAUUGGGCCUGCGAUACGGCCCAGACUCCUACGGGAGGCAGCAGUGGGGAAUAUUGCACAAUGGGCGGAAGCCUGAUGCAGCAACGCCGCGUGCGGGAUGACGGCCUUCGGGUUGUAAACCGCUUUCGCCUGUGACGAAGCGUGAGUGACCGUAAUGGGUAAAGAAGCACCGGCUAACUACGUG